rnacentral:rRNA from 1 species
GGCGAACGCUGGCGGCGUGCUUAACACAUGCUAGUCGAACGGAAAGGCCCUGCUUUUGUGGGGUGCUCGAGUGGCGAACGGGUGAGUAACACGUGAGUAACCUGCCCUUGACUUUGGGAUAACUUCAGGAAACUGGGGCUAAUACCGGAUAGGAGCUCCUGCUGCAUGGUGGGGGUUGGAAAGUUUCGGCGGUUGGGGAUGGACUCGCGGCUUAUCAGCUUGUUGGUGGGGUAGUGGCUUACCAAGGCUUUGACGGGUAGCCGGCCUGAGAGGGUGACCGGCCACAUUGGGACUGAGAUACGGCCCAGACUCCUACGGGAGGCAGCAGUGGGGAAUAUUGCACAAUGGGCGGAAGCCUGAUGCAGCAACGCCGCGUGCGGGAUGACGGCCUUCGGGUUGUAAACCGCUUUCGCCUGUGACGAAGCGUGAGUGACGGUAAUGGGUAAAGAAGCACCGGCUAACUACGUG